AUUGAACGCUGGCGGCAGGCCUAACACAUGCAAGUCGAGCGGAGCGGCGGACGGGGGCGUAAUGCCUAGGAAUCUGCCUGGUCGUGGGGGAUAACGUCCGGAAACGGGCGCUAAUACCGCUUACUAUCAGAUCAGCUUAGGUCGGAUUAGCUUGUUGGUGGGGUAAUGGCAUACCAAGGCGACGAUCCGUAACUGGUUUGAGAGGAGGAUCAGUCACACUGGAACUGAGACACGGUCCAGACUCCGACGGGAGGCAGCAGUGGGGAAUAUUGGACAAUGGGCGAAAGCCUGAUGCAGCCAUGCCGCGUGUAGGAAGAAGGUCUUCGGAUUGUAAAGCACUUUAAGUUGGGAGGCGUUACCAACAGAAUAAGCACCGGCUAACUUCGUGCCAGCAGCCGCGGUAAUAC
rnacentral:rRNA from 1 species